rnacentral:rRNA from 1 species
GACGAACGCUGGCGGCGUGCUUAACACAUGCAAGUCGAACGCUGAAGCUCAGCUUGCUGGGUAGAUGAGUGGCGAACGGGUGAGUAACACGUGAGUAACCUGCCCUCUUCUUUGGGAUAACGCCCGGAAACGGGUGCUAAUACUGGAUAUUCACUGAUUCUCGCAUGGGGGUUGGUGGAAAGGUUUUUUCUGGUGGGGGAUGGGCUCGCGGCCUAUCAGCUUGUUGGUGGGGUGAUGGCCUACCAAGGCUUUGACGGGUAGCCGGCCUGAGAGGGUGACCGGUCACAUUGGGACUGAGAUACGGCCCAGACUCCUACGGGAGGCAGCAGUGGGGAAUAUUGCACAAUGGGCGAAAGCCUGAUGCAGCGACGCCGCGUGAGGGAUGGAGGCCUUCGGGUUGUAAACCUCUUUCGCUCAUGGUCAAGCCGCAGCUUUGGGUUGUGGUGAGGGUAGUGGGUAAAGAAGCGCCGGCUAACUACGUG